rnacentral:rRNA from 1 species
UCCUACGGGGGGCAGCAGUGAGGAAUAUUGGUCAAUGGGCGGAAGCCUGAACCAGCCAAGUCGCGUGAGGGAAUAAGGCCCUACGGGUCGUAAACCUCUUUUGCCGGGGAGCAAGGGCGGGGACGUGUCCCGGCCCGGAGAGUACCCGGAGAAAAAGCAUCGGCUAACUCCGUGCCAGCAGCCGCGGUAAUACGGAGGAUGCGAGCGUUAUCCGGAUUUAUUGGGUUUAAAGGGUGCGUAGGCGGGCUUUUAAGUCAGCGGUAAAAAUUCGGGGCUCAACCCUGUCCGGCCGUUGAAACUGGGGG